CUUUCUUCAUCAUCCGCUCCUUAAUGGCCGGGGCCACCUGCACAGGGCAGCCACUGGUGCACAUUUCAUCCUCACAUGCACAGUAAGACGUGUGCGACAUUCGCAAGAAUACUCUGCCGAGAACGUAUGGCAUAGGAUGAGGGGUUCACGUGCUCUAGACUGGUAACACCCAGCUCACAGACCUGCAGGGGACUGGAGACCACAUUUUGAGGAUUUCGGCUCUGUGUCCUUGGCUCCCUGGGGGUGUAUAUUACUUUGGUCCUGAGUCCUGGUGUUAUUUUGCACACUGGCGUGGGGGCCACACCAUUUUGGGUGCUGUUCUUCACUGUCCCACGGCACCGUAGUUGCCCUAAACAUGCCCCACUUGUUAAGUCUUGGAACUGCUUCACAUCUAAAGGCAUUUCAGUGAAACUGCAGACCCAGCCAUGAAACCUCUAAACCAGUUCUUCA